UUUUUUUUUUUUUUUUUUUUUUUUUUUGCUUUUUAGGGCCUCACCUUUGGCAUAUGGUAGUUCCCAGGCUAGGGGUUGAAUCAGAGCUACAGCUGCCAGCCACAGCCACAGCAAUAUGUGAUUACUAUAUCAUUAUGCUUUGCAAAGAUGUCCUUAGUCUUAGAGAUUCAUGUGGAAAUAUUUACCGAUGAAAUAAUAAGAUGCCUAGAAUUUGCUUCAGAUUAAUCUAUGGAGUUGGCUGUGAGAAGUGGAUGGAUGAACAAGAUUGUAAGUUGACAACUGUUGAGGAUGAGCAAUUGCUAUAAUGGGUUUUUUCCACUUUCAUCAGUUUACAUUUAUGUAUGGGAAACUAUUUUAAUGCAGAAAAAUAGGAAGUGAGACCAUGUGUGGAUGAUGAGGAGAGCUAACUAGUGUGAAAAUUUUGUAAAAUAGAGGGCAAAAAAAUGAUUGGUAGCUAUAGGCGUUUCUAGGAUCAAGGAAGUUGUGUGUGUGUGUAUACUUUAAAGGAGACUUUUAAAAAAUGUCUUUAUAUGCUGAUGGGACAAAAGCAUGAGAGCAGGAAAAUUAUUUGUGAAAGAGAAGGGAUGGGGUUGCAAAAGCACAUGCAAGAAAAGGUUAUGUCAGAGAAGACAGCCUUCAAUAUCCAGUUAAGAUAUUGGCCUUGGACAGGAGCAUUUUAUCAGCAAGAAAAGCAGAUUAUUGGAAUUAUGUACAAGUUAGGUGAUCUGAUUGCAUGAGAGAAUAUUCCAUUUGUUCCAUAUUCGUUUGUUCCAUUAAAGCGGUUUCUAUCAUAAAUUAAAAAUAUUUUAACUUAUAACCUCAGAAAGAGAUAGGCAUGGGGGAGUUCCCGUCAUGGCUCAGCAGUUAGUGAACCCGACUAGUAUCCGUGAGGACGUGGGUUCAAUCCCUGGCCUCGCUCAGUGGGUUAAGGAUCUGGCAUGGCUGUGAGCUGUGGUGUAGGUUGCAGAUGUGGCUCCGAUCUGGCGUGGCUGUGGCUGUGGCCGCUGGCUUCGGCUCUCAUUGGACCCCUAGCCUGGGAACCUCCAUAUGCCAAGACUGGAGCCCUAAAAAGAGAAAAGACCAAAAACAAACAAACACAAAAGAUAGGCAUGGGAGUUGUUUUUUUUUGGAAGAUAUUUAUUUUAUGUUUUUAGGGCCGCACUUAUGGCAUAUGGAAGUUCCCAGGCUAGGGGUCAAAUGGGAGCUGUAGCUGCUGACCUACACCACAGCCACAGCAACUCGGGAUCCUUAAGCUCUUGAGUGAGGUCAGGAAUAGAACCCGUGUCCUCAUGGAUACUAGUCAGGUUCAUUACUGCUGAGCCAUGAUGGGAACUCUGUGGAAGUCUUUAUAAAAACCAAAAAAUCCAGAUGAGUAUAAUUUGAAAGCAAUCUGAAUCAUAAUGGGGUGGGGUUUUUUUGUUGUUUUUGUUUGUUUGUUGUCUUUUUAGGGCCACACCUGCUGCAUAUGGAAGUUCCCAGGCUAGGGGUCAAAUCGGAGCUGUAGCUGCUGGCCUACAUCACAGCCACAGCAAUGCCAGAUCGGAGCCACAUCUAUAACCUACACCAUAGCUCACGCCAGUGCUGGAUCCUUAAAUCACUGAGCAAGGCUGGGGAUCAAACCUGCAUCCUCAUGGAUACUAGUUAUGUUCUUUACCUCUGAGUCACAAUGGAACUCCCAUAAUGAAUAUUUUUAAUGUAAACAGGCAGGAGGAAAACUUUGCUGGGUUCUAAUGGAGUACACACACCCUAAUAUAUGACUGUUGAUGGAAAUGUUAGUGUCAGGGGAAUCCAGGAUGGUUCAGUUUUCCCCCCAUUUCUACCAGAGAAGUUUUAUAUCUCCCCACAGAGGAAACAUCAUGUGUUUACUCUCUGGUUAUCUCUCAGACUUGGAGUUCAGAUGUAAAACCAAGGAAUCAUGUCUGCAAAAAGAAAUCUGUGAAGUAACAUCAUCCCAACAGAAGAUAAUGAAAACAAGUCAUAGCCUUGUGGGCUCCAGUAUCAGAGAUGCCUGGACAUGCAAAGGCCAGUUUAAGAGGUAACAGGGGGAUAUCUGGGCCAAGCAUUAAUGACCUACGAAAAAAUGCCAGCUUUCAGCCUACAAAGACCUCUUACUCUACAUCAGCAAAUUUAUCCUGAAGAGAAAUUCUAUAAAUUCAAAGAAUGUAGGAAGGCCUUUAUGGUUCAGGAUUUAUAGGAUAGCAAGGAAUUCAUAUUGGUAGGAAACCCUAUAAAUGUAAGGAAUGUGACAAGGUCUUUAGUCAUUUUUCCUAUCUUACUGAACAUUAAAGAGUUCACACUGUUGAGAAGCACUAUGAAUGUAAGGAAUGUAGAAAACCUUUUUUUGUGACUCACAUCUUAUUCAACAUCAGAGAAUCCAUACAGAUGAGAAACCCUAUGAAUGUCAGGAAUGUGGGAAGGCCUUUAGACAAUCUGCACACCUCUCUUUUCUUUUCUUUUUUUUUUUGGUCUUUUGUCUUUUUAGGGCCACACCCGUGGCAUAUGGAGGUUCCCAGGAUAGGGGUCCAAUUGGAGUUAUAGCUUCCAGCCUACACCACAGACACAGCAAUGCAGGAUCCUUAACCCAUUGAGUGAGGCCAGGGAUCAAACCCAUGUCUUCAUGGAUGCUAGUCGGGUUUGUUAACCACUGAGCCAUGACGGGAACUCCCAAUCUUCACACCUUACUCGACAUCUGAGAAUUCAUAGUGGUGACAAACCUUAUAAACAUAAAGCAUGUAGGAACUCUUUUAUUUGUGGCUCAGAAUUCACUUGGCAUCAGAGAAUUCAUACUGGUGAGAAUCCCUAUGGUUGUAAGGAAUGUGGGAAGGCCUUUAGACUGCGUU
rnacentral:lncRNA from 1 species